GAUGAACGCUAGCGGGAGGCCUAACACAUGCAAGCCGAGCGGUAUUUGUCCUUCGGGCCCGAGAGAGCGGCGUACGGGUGCGGAACACGUGUGCAACCUGCCUUUAUCUGGGGGAUAGCCUUUCGAAAGGAAGAUUAAUACCCCAUAAUAUAUCGAAUGGCAUCAUUCGAUAUUGAAAACUCCGGUGGAUAGAGAUGGGCACGCGCAAGAUUAGAUAGUUGGUGAGGUAACGGCUCACCAAGUCAGUGAUCUUUAGGGGGCCUGAGAGGGUGAUCCCCCACACUGGUACUGAGACACGGACCAGACUCCUACGGGAGGCAGCAGUGAGGAAUAUUGGACAAUGGGUGAGAGCCUGAUCCAGCCAUCCCGCGUGAAGGACUAAGGCCCUAUGGGUUGUAAACUUCUUUUAUACUGGGAUAAACCUACUUACGUGUAAGUAGCUGAAGGUACAGUAUGAAUAAGCACCGGCUAACUCCGUG
rnacentral:rRNA from 1 species